UACGAAGGGUGCAAGCGUUACUCGGAAUUACUGGGCGUAAAGCGUGCGUAGGCGGUUUGUUAAGUCCGUUGUGAAAGCCCUGGGCUCAACCUGGGAAUUGCAGUGGAUACUGGCGAGCUAGAGUACAGCAGAGGAUAGCGGAAUUCCCGGUGUAGUGGUGAAAUGCGUAGAUAUCGGGAGGAACACCAGUGGCGAAGGCGGCUAUCUGGACUGCAACUGACGCUGAGGCGCGAAGGCUAGGGGAGCAAACAGG
rnacentral:rRNA from 1 species